CUUGCAAAGACGCACGCACACUCCAGGAGCGUGUAGUGCGCUUGUCGAGGUGGGGGCCGACAGGGAGAGGAGGAGGUAAUUUGUUGCAAUUAAUUACGCGCAGCAAAUCACCAGCACCAGAGGUUGACCUUCCAUCGACCACCUUCGCCCGAAAGUGCAGCGACACCCAGAUUUACUGCAGCACACCCCAAAUACAAUUCAGAAGUGAUAUGCUGAUGUUUCUAACACAAGCCCAGUCGACCCUCCUCUCCUCUCGUCUCUGUGGUGUCAGGACAAGCUGGGAUGUGACAACAUUUAUCCGUUCUGCCUCAGCCGGGGGUUUGCCGGGGCCCCUCUGCAGGGGCUGACAGAUGCAUCAGCCAGCCUAAAGGCAGUGGGAAGGCAUGAGAGAGAGCGGGGCGCCGCUCACCACCCAUCCUUCAACAUACUGUAUGACUCCCAAAUUUGCCAGAAAACAUCACAUGGUGUAGCAAAUCUGCAACCCUGGCAGAGAAGUGCAGCCAUGAGAUGAUGGCAUCAUCACCCACUAAGAGAACAGUGCUUCAUGUGACUCCCUUCACAUUGUGAUCACACGGUUGAAAAAUACCCUCUGAGGAAGAUUUCUAGGCCAAAGAAAGCUCCACUUCACUGAAAUGCAGCUCUUCCAUAAGCAUUUGCAACCCUAGACAAAAAACAAGAUUAUGUUUAAUUAAAAAUAGAUCAAUACAGUGAAGAGCUGCAAGCAUGUUGAUUGGUUUCCUGUCUCUUACAAGUGAGGUGCAAGGCAUUUACAGAUGUUUUCUUCUCUAUCAAAAGGUCACAUGUUGUCUGUUUCCAAUCAGUCAUUCCCAGAAUGAAACAGUCUUCAUGAAGGCUGGAGAAGUCUUAAGAAGACAAUUUAAUCACUUACCUAGAGUCAAAUCAAGAGCUACAGAUCUCUGGACCACUGCAGACUUAUUAAAAAGGGAUAAGCCCAUCAAUAAAUCAAUAAAAUAGAUAAAUACUUGAUAAAAACAUACUGUUUUUAUUUACAUUCUUAUACCAGCUCCAUAAAACACAUGUAAAUCUUGAGCAAACACUCUCACCCUAUAGGUGCACUUAGUAGCUAUUCUGGAGUUUUUGAUCGUUUAUAAUUACCAACAAAUAGAGCAGCAGAUGUUUAAAGUCCCACCCCAGCAGAUUAUUACACCCCCAGAAACUCCUCUUUGUUCCUCAAAUAGGUUUGUCAUGAAAAAAAUCCCCUCCACGGCACUGAAAUGGCUUAAAUGUAACUCUACACAUUCCUUCCUCCUAUUGGAUCUAUGAAUAUGCUACUAUGUUCACAGUCACCCCACCCUCACAGCGCCACCUGCAGCUGAGGAGACUUUUCCCAGCUACUGAACCCCACCCACAAGUUGACAGGAUUGGUUUCUUAGGUUUGUGACAUCACAACCCCUGGAUGUCUGAAUCCAUUGUUUUUAGCUCUCGCAUUUGUCUACUGCAGUGUUAAGGUGGGAAUAGUUAGCCAUGGUUCUGACUGCUCUUUUCAAAAUAUAUCUUUUGUCAUAUAAAAGCUAAAAUAUUCCAAAUUUGAUUUUCACCUGAGGGGACUUAAUGUGUCUCUUUUUGUUGAUGUUCACAAUCAAGAAAUGCGUUAACUCCAUCUACUGAUGAAGGUCCUGUAAUAUGACUCAUAAAAGCAACUAAAUGGACCUUGUGGCGAGACCUGUUUCCUAACCUGCUGUUUCCUGUGAAAAUAAACUUUGCACUUUACAAGUAUAUUAUUUGUUAGCCAAUAAUAUAGCUGAUAGUUAUCACGUUCAAACCCUUUAGAGAGUAAAGCGUGCUUUAUUAGACUGUUGUGCCUUUAUUUGUUUUUUGCUUCAGUUUGAAUAUAGGGUUUAUUCAGGCGCUCAGUGUUUCCUCUCUAUUUUUCUUCUGUAAUGUCAGUGCUGGGAAAUGUUUUACUUGGGUAUUUGUUUCAUGAUGUAUGGGUAUGUGUGCUGUAAUUGCAAGUGUGCAAUUUUGUUAUGUUUAUGGUUGUUUUUGGUGAGAGGCAAUAAAGCCAGACUGUGA